rnacentral:lncRNA from 1 species
UUGCCUUGGUCACGGAUCUCUUUGUACCCGUAGGGAAUUCUCGGGCCUGGAACGCCAAUGUCGGCAGACAACUCCAUGACAAUGCAAUCCUUGUUUUCUUGGAACUCUCUUCUAUCCUCGACUCCCUCUAUCUCCCCUCCAAGGGUGAGGACAAAAUCAUUUGGUCGCCUAUCCCCUCUGGUGUUUUCAAUCUCCUUCUUUAAACAUAAACUUAUUGCCUCCUCUCUUGACUACCCACACCACCAGUCUAUCGUAGCCAAAGCUUGGAUUCCUUUCAUCCCCCCGAAAAUCCAAGUUUUCAAUUGGGUUGCAUUGUGGACAUAACCUUAACAGUCGAUCAACUCCAAAGGCGAGGCUUAAUGAUCCUUAAAUCGUGCGCCAUGUAUCUUGAGCAAUGUUGUUAGAUUCGCUUUGGAGUCUUCUUCGAUUUGGUGAGGAAAAUGAAGCAAUUCGGUGCUUCAACAGAUUCGGUGGAAGACGUCGAACUUUUUAAAAAAUUUAGUAUAAAUAAAUUAGAUAUUUAUAUAUAUAAUAUAUACAAAUAACGGAAAAAAUUAAAAUAAAAAAAUGAAAAAAAAUGAAAAAAAUACAUUUAUAUAGCUAUUUCUUUGCUGGCCGAAGCAGACCUGAAGCGGUCCAAAUUUGACCGAGGCAGCCCAAGGCGGUUCAACUCAGGCAGCACUAGGUUUUGCCUCUCUUCGGUUUAUGCCUAAAAUCCGAAAGCUUCGGCCUCUUUGGCCCAAGUGAAGCGAAUUUGAUAACAUUGAUCCGGACGAGGAAACCAACUCACACCUCUUUAUUCACUAUAAUAUUGCAAGCCAACUGUGGGAAGACCUCCUUCAGUUAUUCGGUUGGACAUGGG